rnacentral:rRNA from 1 species
CCUACGGGUGGCUGCAGUGAGGAAUAUUGGUCAAUGGACGGAAGUCUGAACCAGCCAUGCCGCGUGCAGGAAGACGGCCCUAUGAGUUGUAAACUGCUUUUGUACAAGGGUAAACCUGAAUACGUGUAUUCAGCUGAAAGUACUGUACCACUAAGGAUCGGGUAACUCCGUGCCAGCAGCCGCGGUAAUACGGAGGAUCCAAGCGUUAUCCGGAUUUAUUGGGUUUAAAGGGUGCGUAGGCGGAUUGAUAAGUUAGAGGUGAAAUGUCCGAGCGUAACUCGGGAACUGACUCUAAUACUGGUGAUCGAGAGAGUAGAUGAGGUAGGCGGAAUGUAUGGUGUAGCGGUGAAAUGCGUAGAGAUCAUACAGAACACCGAUUGCGAAGGCAGCUUACCAAUCUAUAUCUGACGUUGAGGCACGAAAGCGUGGGGAGCAAACAGGAUUAGAUACCCGGGUAGUC